GACGAACGCUGGCGGCGUGCUUAACACAUGCAAGUCGAACGGAAAGGCCCUGCUUUUGUGGGGUGCUCGAGUGGCGAACGGGUGAGUAACACGUGAGUAACCUGCCCUUGUCUUUGGGAUAACUUCAGGAAACUGGGGCUAAUACAGGAUAGGAGAUCCUGCUGCAUGGUGGGGGUUGGAAAGUUUCGGCGGUGGUGGAUGGACUCGCGGCUUAUCAGCUUGUUGGUGGGGUAGUGGCUUACCAAGGCUUUGACGGGUAGCCGGCCUGAGAGGGUGACCGGCCACAAUGGGACUGAGAUACGGCCCAGACGCCUACGGGAGGCAGCAGGGGGGAAUAUUGCACAAUGGGCGGAAGCCUGAUGCAGCAACGCCGCGUUCGGGAUGACGUCUUUCGGGUUGUAAACCGCUUUCGCCUGUGACGAAGCGGGAGUGACGGUAAUGGGUAAAGAAGCACCGGCUAACUACGUG
rnacentral:rRNA from 1 species